rnacentral:rRNA from 1 species
AGGAUGAACGCUAGCGGCAGGCCUAAUACAUGCAAGUCGAGGGGUAUGGAGAGCUUGCUUUCCAGAGACCGGCGCACGGGUGCGUAACGCGUAUGCAACCUACCUCAAUCUGGGGGAUAGCCCGAAGAAAUUCGGAUUAACACCGCAUAAAAUCACAGCACGGCAUUGUGCAAUGAUCAAAUAUUUAUAGGAUUGGGAUGGGCAUGCGUGCCAUUAGCUAGUUGGCGGGGUAAUGGCCCACCAAGGCUACGAUGGCUA